rnacentral:rRNA from 1 species
UACAGAGGUCCCAAGCGUUGUUCGGAUUCACUGGGCGUAAAGGGCGCGUAGGCGGUUGGAUAAGUCUUGUGUGAAAUCUUCGGGCUCAACUCGAAGUCUGCACGAGAAACUAUCUGGCUUGAGUGUGGGAGAGGUGAGUGGAAUUCCUGGUGUAGCGGUGAAAUGCCUAGAUAUCAGGAGGAACACCUGUGGCGAAAGCGGCUCACUGGACCACAACUGACGCUGAGGCGCGAAAGCUAGGGGAGCAAACAGG